rnacentral:ncRNA from 3 species
UGUAGGAGUGAGCCUGCUCGCGAUGGCGGUCUGACAGUCAAUAUUGAUGUGACUGUCAGACCGCCAUCGCGAGCAGGCUCACUCCUACA